UUGCACGCUGGCGGCAGGCCUAACACAUGCAAGUCGAGCGGAUGAAGGGAGCUUGCUCCUGGAUUCAGCGGCGGACGGGUGAGUAAUGCCUAGGAAUCUGCCUGGUAGUGGGGGAUAACGUCCGGAAACGGGCGCUAAUACCGCAUACGUCCUGAGGGAGAAAGUGGGGGAUCUUCGGACCUCACGCUAUCAGAUGAGCCUAGGUCGGAUUAGCUAGUUGGUGGGGUAAAGGCCUACCAAGGCGACGAUCCGUAACUGGUCUGAGAGGAUGAUCAGUCACACUGGAACUGAGACACGGUCCAGACUCCUACGGGAGGCAGCAGUGGGGAAUAUUGGACAAUGGGCGAAGGCCUGAUCCAGCCAUGCCGCGUGUGUGAAGAAGGUCUUCGGAUUGUAAAGCACUUUAAGUUGGGAGGAAGGGCAGUAAGUUAAUACCUUGCUGUUUUGACGUUACCAACAGAAUAAGCACCGGCUAACUUCGUG
rnacentral:rRNA from 1 species